GUCUGACCUCACCUCGGGUAAUAUGCUUCAAAUACAGGUGGGAACUCCACUGGACUCUGCUGGAAGAUGAACCCAUGCCACUUUGUUUCUGCUGCAGACCGAGGUCCAUCCUGUUUCUCCUUCCAGCUGUUGGAGUGCAGCUCUGGGCUCCCCACAGCCCCACCUGGGAAGAACCUCCCUCUGGAUGUCUGCAACCCCAGCAACUGUGCCCAAGCAAAUCUCAGCCUGUGCUCUGUGCCGGGUCCAUGCUCCCUCCCUGACCUAUGGGAAUGAGAUCUGAGCUCAUUCAUUGAGCGAAACUCAAAAAUAAAGUAACUGGAAAGCUAAUAUAAUUCA